rnacentral:rRNA from 1 species
GACGAACGCUGGCGGCGUGCCUAAUACAUGCAAGUCGAGCGCAGGAAGCUCACGGAACUCUUCGGAGGGAAGUGAAGGGAAUGAGCGGCGGACGGGUGAGUAACACGUAAGGAACCUGCCCCAAGGAUUGGGAUAACUCCGAGAAAUCGGAGCUAAUACCGAAUAGUUCUUCAGACCGCAUGGUCUGAUGAUGAAAGGCGCUCCGGCGUCACCCUGGGAUGGCCUUGCGGUGCAUUAGCUAGUUGGUGGGGUAAUGGCCCACUAAGACGACGAUGCAUAGCCGACCUGGGAGGGUGAUCGGCCACACUGGGACUGAGACACGGCCCAGACUCCUACGGGAGGCAGCAGUAGGGAAUCUUCCACAAUGGACGAAAGUCUGAUGGAGCAACGCCGCGUGAGUGAUGAAGGUUUUCGGAUCGUAAAACUCUGUUGUAAGGGAAGAACAGGUAUGAGAGGUAAUGCUCAUGCUAUGACGGUACCUUACGAGAAAGCCACGGCUAACUACGUGCCAGCAGCCGCCGUAAGAC